rnacentral:rRNA from 1 species
GACGAACGCUGGCGGCGUGCUUAACACAUGCAAGUCGAACGGAAAGGCCCCUUCGGGGGUACUCGAGUGGCGAACAGGUGAGUAACACGUGAGUAACCUGCCCUUGACUUCGGGAUAACUUCAGGAAACUGGGGCUAAUACCGGAUAGGAAUCCUUGCUGCAUGGUGGGGGUUGGAAAGCUUCGGCGGUUUUGGAUGGACUCGCGGCUUAUCAGCUUGUUGGUGGGGUAGUGGCUUACCAAGGCUUUGACGGGUAGCCGGCCUGAGAGGGCGACCGGCCACAUUGGGACUGAGAUACGGCCCAGACUCCUACGGGAGGCAGCAGUGGGGAAUAUUGCACAAUGGGCGGAAGCCUGAUGCAGCAACGUCGCGUGCGGGAUGACGGCCUUCGGGUUGUAAACCGCUUUCAGCAGGGGCGAAGCUUGUGGUGACGGUACCUGCAGAAGAAGCACCGGCUAACUACGUG